rnacentral:ncRNA from 1 species
GGUUAAUUAUAACGAAGCAUCGCGAGGGCCCAUGGCAGGUAUGGACCAUGGUGUUGACGCGAUGUGAUUUCUGUCCAGGACUCUGAAUGUCAAAGUGAAGAAAUUCAAUGAAGCACAGGUUGACGUGUUCUUUGGGUGGUUUACUCGUACUUCACCCAUGACUUUAAUGUGGUUCAAUCCUGAUACAUCUGUGGAAAUGUCACAGAUGAAUCAA